GCCCAGAUGGCGGAAUUGGUAGACGCGCACGACUCAAAAUCGUGUUCCUUCGGGAGUGAGAGUUCGAUUCUCUCUCCGGGCA
rnacentral:tRNA from 1 species